rnacentral:rRNA from 1 species
CCUACGGGAGGCAGCAGUAGGGAAUUUUCGUCAAUGGGCGCAAGCCUGAACGAGCAAUGCCGCGUGAACGAGGAAGGUCUUCGGAUCGUAAAGUUCUGUUGAAGGGGAAAAAGAGCGGAGAGAGGAAAUGGUCUCCGAUUGAUAUUUCCCUUCGAGGAAGUCACGGAUAACUCCGUGCGAGCAGGCUCGGUAAUACGUAGGUGGCGAGCGUUAUCCGGAAUGAUUGGGCGUAAAGGGUGCGUAGGCGGCCUGCUAAGUCUGGGGUAAAAGGUACCGGCUAAAACGGUAAAGGGUCUGGAAACUGGCGGGCUAGAGAGCAGGAGAGGGCGGUGGAACGCCAUGUGUAGCGGUAAAAUGCGUAGAUAUAUGGAAGAACACCAGUGGCGAAGGCGGCCGCCUGGCCUGUUACUGACGCUGAGGCACGAAAGCGUGGGGAGCAAAUAGGAUUAGAUACCCCUGUAGUC